AUUGAACGCUGGCGGCAGGCUUAACACAUGCAAGUCGAGCGGAAGCAGGCAGUCGGGUCCUGGAGUGAGCGGCGCGGGGGUGUGAAGUGUCGAAGAGUGUGCAUGGUAGGGGGGUAUCGCAUCCAAAGACGUGCGCAUAUACCAUAUGCGUUGUGAAGGAGAACGGGGGGCCACGUCGGAACGCUCGGCAUCGCAUGUGCCGAGGUCGGAUUAGCUAGUUGGUGGGGUAAAGGCCUACCAAGGCGACGAUCCGUAACUGGUCUGAGAGGAUGAUCAGUCACACUGGAACUGAGACACGGUCCAGACUCCUACGGGAGGCAGCAGUGGGGAAUAUUGGACAAUGGGCGAAAGCCUGAUCCAGCCAUGCCGCGUGUGUGAAGAAGGUCUUCGGAUUGUAAAGCACUUUAAGUCGGGAGGAAGAGCAGUAAGUUAAUACCUUGCUGUUUUGACGGUACCAAAAGAAUAAGCACCGGCUAACUUCGUG
rnacentral:rRNA from 1 species